AAUCGGUGAAAUUGAUCUCCCUGUGCAAAAGCAGGGAUAAACCCAUAAGACGAGAAGACCCGUGGAACUUCAAAAUCAGCAACCAUCCCAUAUUACAUAAACACCCACCGGGCCCACUAGCACAUGGGCACUGGCUUGCAUUUUUUCGGUUGGGGCGACCUUGGAGAAAAAACAAAUCCUCCAAAAAUUAGACCUUACCUCUAGACUAAGAGCGACGGCUCAACGUGCUAAUAGCAACCAGACCCAAUAUAAUUGAUCAAUGGACCAAGCUACCCCAGGGAUAACAGCGCAAUCUCCUUUAAGAGUCCAUAUCGACAAGGAGG
rnacentral:rRNA from 1 species